UGGAUUUACCAAAGCUGGUCCUUGUUUGUGUAACGAAGAGGAAAUCAAAUCCAGAUUAAACCCCAGAUAGAUUCUGUCAGCGUUUCAUCCAGGGCUCCUCAAACAAGAAAAACAGCGGCUGCAGCUGCAUGUCUUGCUUUUACAGUAUUGCAACAGAAGAACACAUGACCGGAAGUACGACAUUGUGCUUGCAGUAUGGAGAAUGGGAAUGGAGCCGAGCAAGUCAGCAACGUCCAGUGGAGGUGCGAAAAGAAAGAUUAAGUAACCCUAAUCCCGCAGGUCUUCGACCAUGAAGAGCUGUCACUUUACUGCGAGGCGUUGCAGGACUGUUGGCUCUUAAAGGAGCUGUGACAAUCUUGCCUUCUGAUAGUUCCAUGGUACUGCUGGCAGAUGGCAUAAAAAUGUUUGUUUCUGCUGAUCGCACCCGGUGCAAAGUUCUUUUAAGGCUCAAAAGGGACUAACUGUGACGUGGCAGCUUUGAUUUGCCUCACCUCUGCUGCCUGCACUUCCCAGCCAGCCUGAUUGAUCACACCUGCUCACAAUAAUCACCUCAUCCUGUGUGAAUUUAAUCAGUCUGUUGCCUUCCUGCCAUGCCAGUUUGUCUUUGUUUCCACCAGCAAGCAUUCCAGCCUUUUUCCGCACGCUUUCUAGACUGAUACCUCUGCCAUCUUGACUGAUUCCAUGAGUUCUGACCAUUGGACUGUUAUUAAACCACUGAAUUUUGGAAACUAUAGGUUGUCAUUUGAGUCCUGCCUGCCCAAAUUGUUGUCACACUAGCACUAUCAGGACAAACGCUUGGCAUAUAUGGUUUAAUUUGAAUAUGAAUGU